CCUUUUCAAAUUUUUUUUCAACUUGUGAUUAGCACUGAUUUUGAGCUGCUAAUCGGAGAUUGGAGAUUUUUACUCAUAAGCCAGUUUUUUAUCCUUUCUGAGGUAUCUUCACAUAGGUUUUGUACCUGGCUGAGUUAUUUUCCUACCACAGUUACCGCGACAUCAUCAGCGUACCCGAUAAUUUGGACUCCUUUUCCUAGUGGGAGUUUUAGCACUUCAUCAUAUAGAAUAUUCCACAACAGUGGAUCUAAAACUGAGCCUUGCGGCACCCUGUAGUAAAAUGUGUGUGUAUGUGUUUAUUUGCGACAUUUAAUACUGAAAUAAAUCUUUAGCUGCGUUCUCUACAGAAACUUCUUUUUGGAGCUCUUGCCCAUUUUGCAGAUACUUUAUGGAUUUCAAAUGCACAUAUACACACUAUCACAGAAAUAUAGGCAAACACUCCUGCAUGUAAGCACUAAUUCCUUUAUAUAAGCGCCAAAAGUGUCACUCCAAAUGCAAAGUACUCGCGUGAAAAUUUAUUGCCAACGUAACUGUAAGUAAGCGCACAGAGUCUCCUUUAGCGGAUGUUAAGUUUUCUUUUUUUAUUUUUUGAAAAUUUUAAAUAAAAUGUUUGCUCAUGUGCAAACACGCAGAUACAGUUUAUCUAAAUAUGGACAUAUAUGUAUGUACGAUUGUAUGUGUGCAGUUAAGGUUGCGUGCCACAUUGCUUGCAAACGCAGUGCAGCAAUUGAAGUGCUAAUAUCUGUAGUUGCUGCCAUUACAUUCAUUUCACCGUUUCCAGCGAUAAUCAUUUGCCAUAGUGCUAGCUCUCUUUCUCUCUCCGGCUGUUAUAAGUUGUGCGACAACUCAGUUAAUUUAACGCGUGAAGCUACUUGUUGACACCUAUUAACUGAGUUUCGAGUGGGUGUGUAUGCGCAUAUACCCUGCAGAAAAAUUGAGAACCGGUCCAAAAAAAUACAGUUCUGAUCCAUCAAUUAGCAUGUGUUUUAAACCAUGCUGUUUUAGAAUGCAGCGAAAGACUGUUUAAUGUAUCAAGCCUAAUGUAAAAUAUCGAUAAUCACUUAUCGUUAAAAACAGCUGUUCUAACCCAUCUUCAUAUUUCAAUUUCAAAAGUGCGUUGCAAAAAGUUAUUCAAUUCAAAAUAGCGUAAACUUAUUAUAUAUGUAGAUACAGAUAUACAAUUGUAAGUGGAAGUUUUAAAAAAUGGUUGUUGACGAAUGAAAAUGAUGGAAAAUUGGAUACAAAUUUUAGGAAAAAACAUUAAGGUUACAAUACGUUGUAUAGUUUGUGAUGCCCCGGUUAAAGCUUUUAUUUGUGUUAUUCCAGGUGUUAAAAUGAUUACCCAAGGAGCCAUAGAUUUUGUUUUUUUUUCAGAAAUGCAAUUUAACAAAAUAAUGCCAUAAUGUAAAGCUUCCAUUAGCAAAAAGUAUUGCAGCAGAAAUUAAUUCGCUAAGAGUCAGUGGGUGGCCAAAUAGCCGACUUUUUCCCGCUGCAGACAGAGGAAGGGCUUUGGAGGAUCAAAUUGUAUAGAAAACAGCGAAAUUUUUGAAAGUUUCUACUAUAAAAAGGUUAAUUCAACAAAAUGUUACACGCAACUUAAGAAAAAUCUGGAGCGAUGGUAUGGUUAAAGUCCUAUGAAAAGUUUUAUGCUGCACUACUAAAAUAUAUAGAUUCAAUUUCACCAACACCAAAUUUAAUUGCUGCGGAGGAUCACCUGGAAGGCUAUAAGGAUGCAAAAAAACAGAAAUUUUAAAAUGUCGCCUUCAAAAACUUCAUAAUUUACAUUUCAUUUUUAUGCCUAAUACUUGCAUUUAGCUUUAUUCAAUUAAAGUAAUGUAAACCUUUUUCAUACAAAACCUAUUUCAACACAAAAUAAAUAAAUUCUAAAAUGAACUCAAAAUUUAUCUA